UAUUUUCACAAGCAUGUUACACACUCUCAAAUGGUUUGUUGUUCAAAAACUUUCAGUCUCAUGUUGCUUCUGAUCAAAGUAUCAAUAUGAAGUUUCUGACAUUUGAGUUUUUUCACUUUAUAUUGCAAACCGAGUCCUCCCAUGAAAUUAUGCCUGAAUGGAACUGAAUAGUAUGAAUUUAGGCAUUUAUACCUAAUGCUGUGGCAACUGGAAUGCAUCGAAAUGAUUAUUAGAAAGGUGACUGGACAGAGAAGAUUGCUUGAGUGACCAAAGUGAGAAAAACCAAGGAGCAGAACCACUGUCCCAGUGGAGAACCCUAAGGAGGAAGACUGGAUACCCAUAUUUUGUAGCUGGCACCCUCCCCUUAAGUCUGGGAGUAAGUCACUCUGGCAAAGAAGCAGCAUUUCCAGAAGAUGCUGGGAUUUGUCCUCAGGAGCUGAUGCACCUUCACCUACCCACAAUGAACCCAGAGUCCAGCUUUAACUCUGCAUUGAACUGUCUGGAACGGAAGUACAAAUUUUCCUCCUUCUGGAAUAAUAUUGUCCACUUCUUGAGAUAGGGUAUUGGAUUUGUUGAUUCUUGGCUCUGACCUAGUAUGGAUAUUCUUAUCCUCCUUACAUCAGGAUGCUAUAUCAUUGGUGGGUCCUUUAGGGAAUGGAGAUAGAGAAAGCAGAACAUAUUUUACUUGGAAUUUUUUAUAUCUAAAUUUAUCCCUCAAUGCACAUGAACACAUGAAAUAAGGGGUACCCAAGUCAUGUUCUUUCUUUGCAUGCCAUCUUCACUUUAAAAAUAUCGUGUUUUAAUGAUCCUAACAAAUAAUCUCAAAGUAAUUACAUCUUCAUGUAGCAGACUGUCUUUUCUUUCUCUUGAGGAAUGCAGCUACUUUCAAGCAAAAAAUCAGCUUUGUGUCAUAGGGAGAUAAGUAGCAGAAAAACUGCAAAUACAGUGCAAUUGCUAGUGAUUGGUUGUUAGAGUCAUUUUAGAGGCCAAAAACAUCUU